GAUGAACGCUGGCGGCGUGCCUAAUACAUGCAAGUCGAGCGAACGGACGAGAAGCUUGCUUCUCUGAUGUUAGCGGCGGACGGGUGAGUAACACGUGGAUAACCUACCUAUAAGACUGGGAUAACUUCGGGAAACCGGAGCUAAUACCGGAUAAUAUUUUGAACCGCAUGGUUCAAAAGUGAAAGACGGUCUUGCUGUCACUUAUAGAUGGAUCCGCGCUGCAUUAGCUAGUUGGUAAGGUAACGGCUUACCAAGGCAACGAUGCAUAGCCGACCUGAGAGGGUGAUCGGCCACACUGGAACUGAGACACGGUCCAGACUCCUACGGGAGGCAGCAGUAGGGAAUCUUCCGCAAUGGGCGAAAGCCUGACGGAGCAACGCCGCGUGAGUGAUGAAGGUCUUCGGAUCGUAAAACUCUGUUAUUAGGGAAGAACAUAUGUGUAAGUAACUGUGCACAUCUUGACGGUACCUAAUCAGAAAGCCACGGCUAACUACGUGCCAGCAGCCGCGGUAAUACGUAGGUGGCAAGCGUUAUCCGGAAUUAUUGGGCGUAAAGCGCGCGUAGGCGGUUUUUUAAGUCUGAUGUGAAAGCCCACGGCUCAACCGUGGAGGGUCAUUGGAAACUGGAAAACUUGAGUGCAGAAGAGGAAAGUGGAAUUCCAUGUGUAGCGGUGAAAUGCGCAGAGAUACGGAGGAACACCAGUGGCGAAGGCGACUUUCUGGUCUGUAACUGACGCUGAUGUGCGAAAGCGUGGGGAUCAAACAGGAUUAGAUACCCUGGUAGUCCACGCCGUAAACGAUGAGUGCUAAGUGUUAGGGGGUUUCCGCCCCUUAGUGCUGCAGCUAACGCAUUAAGCACUCCGCCUGGGGAGUACGACCGCAAGGUUGAAACUCAAAGGAAUUGACGGGGACCCGCACAAGCGGUGGAGCAUGUGGUUUAAUUCGAAGCAACGCGAAGAACCUUACCAAAUCUUGACAUCCUUUGACAACUCUAGAGAUAGAGCCUUCCCCUUCGGGGGACAAAGUGACAGGUGGUGCAUGGUUGUCGUCAGCUCGUGUCGUGAGAUGUUGGGUUAAGUCCCGCAACGAGCGCAACCCUUAAGCUUAGUUGCCAUCAUUAAGUUGGGCACUCUAAGUUGACUGCCGGUGACAAACCGGAGGAAGGUGGGGAUGACGUCAAAUCAUCAUGCCCCUUAUGAUUUGGGCUACACACGUGCUACAAUGGACAAUACAAAGGGCAGCGAAACCGCGAGGUCAAGCAAAUCCCAUAAAGUUGUUCUCAGUUCGGAUUGUAGUCUGCAACUCGACUACAUGAAGCUGGAAUCGCUAGUAAUCGUAGAUCAGCAUGCUACGGUGAAUACGUUCCCGGGUCU
rnacentral:rRNA from 1 species